rnacentral:lncRNA from 1 species
UUUCUGGUUGGAGAUCUCUUUUUUGUGGAGUUUCCCUGUGAGUGUAGAUCUUCAGAGACAGAGUCCCCUCAAGAGAAAAAAAAGGCAUAUAAAAAGGAAGCUGAAAUUCCUCAAGGAUAACGUUCUACAUGCUAGCAGGGAGGCAUCCCUACCAUGAGAAUAUUACAAAAAUAAAUCACAGGAAUGCUUUUCUACCAGGGUUCAGGAGUCCAAAAGGAAGAAAAAUCACUUAGAUUAGUUUGAAGCCCUUUGGAAAUGCAGUCGUCACUCAGCCUAGCACGUGAUAAAGGAAUGCCCGGGAAUUAUUUUUGGCCAUUGAAAUGUGUACGUAGCUGGCACCUUGAACAUGAAGAUAUAUUGAAAACUAAUGUGUCCAAUGCAUCCUCUCUGGAAAGCUUGCUUGGUCUAAAUAUCGAUUGGUUUUACUACCAGCCAAGGUCAGAAACUGAAGAGGUUCUUGCUGCAGCUGCAGGAAGCUGUAUAUUAAUCUCAAUAUCAACUAAAGUACCUAAACUGUUAUUGGAAUUUGUUGAUCAAUGACAGCUUUGAAAAGUACUUAGUAUGACAUUUGUUGAGCUUCCAUAUUUUGUGUUAUACCGUCACACCUGAUUGUUCAAUAACUCGGAAAACACCAACAAAGGACCUCUUCAGCUCUUUGUGCAGACAAUAUCUGUUUUAUAAUUCCCGUCUCUUGCUAUAAUCUGCAUUAAUGGGCAUUCCACACCAUUAAAAGGUUUUCUUGCUGCCUUGCUUACAUUAAUCCAUUAGAGAAUGUUCCUCUGUUGCUCAUGGUAAUGUGCCUUGUGUCUGCCUAAACUUCUUCCAGAAGAAUAUUUCUUAAUUCCUGACCCUGCAACCUUUAUGUUUGGAAAUGCCAUCAUUAAAUUCAAACACACCUCCUGUCUCUGUUCUCUUGAAAUAAAUGCUUGUGCAGGGUCUCUAGCCACAUGGAUCCACACCACAUUGCAUAGGAACACAGCUGCACAACUGGGCUGAGUAAGGGACUGUUUCCCCCAGUGCCUGCUCUCCUUAUGUGGGGAGAGUUCACUUUUUAUAUAUUCACAGAUUUUUUUUUUGCUCUUCUGCAUUAAACUGGUGUUGUAGAAGUAAAAUCAUCAAAGGCUAUAAAUAUGACACGAUCCUCUUAAAACUUUUAAAUAUUUACAAGUCCAUUUCCUUCCUCGCUUGCUUCCCAAGAUAGAUUCUCAUUAAAUUAAACCAACUUGCAGAAAAACUUUCCAGUAAUCACACCAGCAUAUAAUAUCUAAAAGUCUUCAGAGGGCAAGGCCCAGGCCAUUGCAAGGAUUUAUGCAUGUUUAGGGUCACAGUUCACAUCAAAU